rnacentral:lncRNA from 1 species
CUGAGCAGCCACACUGAAACCGAAGACCUACAAGUCCCAUGAACUGGACCAUCUCUAGAUAAAACCGCAAGUGGAAUCCCAGCUGUCACAGGAGGUCUCAGAACAGCCUAGAUGAGAGCUGACAGCUUCCCCUCUCAACGCCGCCUUGGGAUUCCCAGAGCACUCCUGCCACAGCUUCUGACCUGAACUGUACAAACCCAGCCCAGUCUGCCUUCUCAGGAACCCUGGGGAAUCAAGCUGGCAAAGGCAUCACCAUCAGACGGCUUUCUGCUGACCGGCUCAGGAAGAGGAAGCCAGCUUGCAAUCUUCAGAGUAUCCACAGCCCAGGGAGCUGCUGCACUGCGAGGCUGUAACAGACACCUGCCUCAGGCAGGCCAGUGGGGUGGAGCCCUCUGAGGAAGAGGGGGGAAGGGGAGGGGCAAGAGGACUUGGGAGGAGGAAGAGAAAGGAAGGAAAAAGGCAGAGAGGGAAGGAGAAGCCAGUCAAGACCCCUGACUGCCCCUGAAUCCUUUUGCAGAGCCAUUAUCAAAAUUGAUUUUAAUAAAUGAAAGAUUUACCUGGGUCGAACAUUGUUUUUAACUGGCGGCAAUUAAUUAAUUAACCAUCACUAGCCUGGACAGCAUAAUGGGAUGAUAUUUUGAUGCUAACACAUUAUUGAAAAGGACAAGCCAUGUUUUGUUUUGUUUUUUUUCCCAAGUAAUCAAUUAAUCAGCCCCAAAUGAAGAUUCAGACCACUGCCUAUGCUCACAGGCACUUUAAUAGCUUCCUUUACCAGGACCCCAAAUACCCUCUUUAAGACUCUGUGCCCCGGGAAGCAGUUUGAGAGCCGGGUCAGGUGUGCAGGUGGCUACUGUGAAGCUUCAGGAAGGUUGGAGAGGCAGAGGUGCCUGGGGACGACCAUCACCCUGAGGCUGUGCCCUGGACAUUCUGGAGUCCCAGACUCCUUGGAGAAUAAAAACAGAGCUGGUCCAUGGAGGUCUGUGUUCAUUCAAGUUGGUCAAGGAGCAUGGUAGCCGUAAUCUCACAGGUGGGUGCAUAACAUGCAUGCAAAUAUGCUGGAAUGGAACAGCAUCUCUUCUUUUUUUUUUUGUA